CUUGAACGCUGGCGGCAGGCCUAACACAUGCAAGUCGAGCGGAGCGGCGGACGGGUGAGUAAUGCCUAGGAAUCUGCCUGGUAGUGGGGGAUAACGUACGGAAACGGGCGCUAAUACAGCAUCCUCUCAGAUGAGCCUAGGGCGGAUUAGCUAGUUGGGGGUGUAAAGGCCUACCAAGGCGACGAUCCGGAACUGGUCUGAGAGGAUGAUCAGUCACACUGGAACUGAGACACGGUCGAUACUCCUAAGGGAGGCAGCAGUGGGGAAAAUUGGACAAUGGGCGAAAGCCUGAUCCAGCCAUGCCGCGUGUGUGAAGAAGGUCUUCGGAUUGUAAAGCAUUUUAAGUUGGGAGGCGUUACCAACAGAAUAAGCACCGGCUAACUUCGUGCCAGCAGCCGCGGUAAUUC
rnacentral:rRNA from 1 species